AUGCUCGACCACCCAGCCGACCUCGCCCGCGCAUCAGCCACCAUCUUCACCAUGCUGGAUGACCCCGCCGACAUCGCCCGCGCAUCCGCCGUCUCACACUCCUGGCGUCAAUUCGUUAUUGCCAACCAGUUCAGCAAGCUGCAGUGCCUACGGGCCUGCCCGGAGGUGUCCACCUUCAUGCACGUCGAUGUCACCACCUCCGGCUCCAGCACCACCACCACCACACGCCAGGAUCAGCUCGACCGGGAACACAGGGCGUACACACACCUCGCCCACGGCCUCCUCUCGCCGUACAAGCCAAGGGACUGCAUCAUCCACUGCAUCGGCGCGUCCAGCACUGACGAAUUCCCCAUGGAGACCAUCGAGAACACCCUUCACCGCCUCGACCAGCUCAACUUUAGACCCUGCUACUGGUCCAGCCGCGGCAACAGGGAUCCCGCCGCGCCCGAGUGCCUCAUAUACAGGCUCCAGGCGGAUCUGUGCCUCGUCGAUGAGAUCAAGAUGAAGCCCUACAAAGCACUUUUCCAGAUUGGUGACCCGAUAUAUUCGGCAAAGAGCAUCCGGUUCCAGAUGGGCUAUCCAAGGUCACCGCUACGCCCUGAAGCACUUGUGUGUGAUGAAAAUGAGGGACAGUUAAUUGACGACAGAAACUAUGUCUGGACCUACACAUCUCCAGAAUUUCCAGUGCUGCAGGAAGAUGUUCUGCAAUCUUUCAAGUUACCACGCCAGGUUCUUUGUAUUGGUGGGGUGGUGAAGGUUGAGCUUCUUGGGAGAGCUCAGAAGCAGGCAAUUGAUGGUCUCUACUACGUGUGUGUGUCUCAUGUCCAAAUACUGGGGAAGCCACUGUCACGAGAGCUCGGGGUUGUUCCUCGUGGAAACGGCCUAGUCCUGAAUUACUAUCUGGAUCCCCGCCAGCGAGUCAUCAGGGGAUGA
rnacentral:rRNA from 1 species